UUAAGCGACUAAGCGUACACGGUGGAUGCCCUGGCAGUCAGAGGCGAUGAAGGACGUGCUAAUCUGCGAAAAGCGUCGGUAAGGUGAUAUGAACCGUUAUAGCCGGCGAUGUCCGAAUGGGGAAACCCAGUGCAAUUCGUUGCACUAUCGUUAACUGAAUACAUAGGUUAACGAGGCGAACCGGGGGAACUGAAACAUCUAAGUACCCCGAGGAAAAGAAAUCAACCGAGAUUCCCCCAGUAGCGGCGAGCGAACGGGGAGCAGCCCAGAGUCUGAAUCAGCUUGUGUGUUAGUGGAACGGUCUGGAAAGUCCGACGGUACAGGGUGAUAGUCCCGUACACCAAAAUGCACAGGCUGUGAACUCGAAGAGUAGGGCGGGACACGUGGUAUCCUGUCUGAAUAUGGGGGGACCAUCCUCCAAGGCUAAAUACUCCUGACUGACCGAUAGUGAACCAGUACCGUGAGGGAAAGGCGAAAAGAACCCCGGCGAGGGGAGUGAAAAAGAACCUGAAACCGUGUACGUACAAGCAGUGGGAGCACCUUCGGGUGUGACUGCGUACCUUUUGUAUAAUGGGUCAGCGACUUAUAUUCUGUAGCAAGGUUAACCGUAUAGGGGAGCCGCAGGGAAACCGAGUCUUAACUGGGCGUUAAGUUGCAGGGUAUAGACCCGAAACCCGGUGAUCUAGCCAUGGGCAGGUUGAAGGUUGGGUAACACUAACUGGAGGACCGAACCGACUAAUGUUGAAAAAUUAGCGGAUGACUUGUGGCUGGGGGUGAAAGGCCAAUCAAACCGGGAGAUAGCUGGUUCUCCCCGAAAGCUAUUUAGGUAGCGCCUCGUGAACUCAUCUUCGGGGGUAGAGCACUGUUUCGGCUAGGGGGUCAUCCCGACUUACCAACCCGAUGCAAACUACGAAUACCGAAGAAUGUUAUCACGGGAGACACACGGCGGGUGCUAACGUCCGUCGUGAAGAGGGAAACAACCCAGACCGCCAGCUAAGGUCCCAAAGUCAUGGUUAAGUGGGAAACGAUGUGGGAAGGCACAGACAGCCAGGAUGUUGGCUUAGAAGCAGCCAUCAUUUAAAGAAAGCGUAAUAGCUCACUGGUCGAGUCGGCCUGCGCGGAAGAUGUAACGGGGCUAAACCAUGCACCGAAGCUGCGGCAGCGACACUAUGUGUUGUUGGGUAGGGGAGCGUUCUGUAAGCCUGCGAAGGUGUGCUGUGAGGCAUGCUGGAGGUAUCAGAAGUGCGAAUGCUGACAUAAGUAACGAUAAAGCGGGUGAAAAGCCCGCUCGCCGGAAGACCAAGGGUUCCUGUCCAACGUUAAUCGGGGCAGGGUGAGUCGACCCCUAAGGCGAGGCCGAAAGGCGUAGUCGAUGGGAAACAGGUUAAUAUUCCUGUACUUGGUGUUACUGCGAAGGGGGGACGGAGAAGGCUAUGUUAGCCGGGCGACGGUUGUCCCGGUUUAAGCAUGUAGGCUGGUUGUCCAGGCAAAUCCGGAUAAUCAAGGCUGAGGUGUGAUGACGAGGCACUACGGUGCUGAAGUAACAAAUGCCCUGCUUCCAGGAAAAGCCUCUAAGCAUCAGGUAACAUUAAAUCGUACCCCAAACCGACACAGGUGGUCAGGUAGAGAAUACCAAGGCGCUUGAGAGAACUCGGGUGAAGGAACUAGGCAAAAUGGUGCCGUAACUUCGGGAGAAGGCACGCUGGUGUGUAGGUGAAGUCCCUGCGGAUGGAGCUGAGACCAGUCGAAGAUACCAGCUGGCUGCAACUGUUUAUUAAAAACACAGCACUGUGCAAACACGAAAGUGGACGUAUACGGUGUGACGCCUGCCCGGUGCCGGAAGGUUAAUUGAUGGGGUUAUCCGUAAGGAGAAGCUCUUGAUCGAAGCCCCGGUAAACGGCGGCCGUAACUAUAACGGUCCUAAGGUAGCGAAAUUCCUUGUCGGGUAAGUUCCGACCUGCACGAAUGGCGUAAUGAUGGCCAGGCUGUCUCCACCCGAGACUCAGUGAAAUUGAACUCGCUGUGAAGAUGCAGUGUACCCGCGGCAAGACGGAAAGACCCCGUGAACCUUUACUAUAGCUUGACACUGAACAUUGAGCCUUGAUGUGUAGGAUAGGUGGGAGGCUUUGAAGCGUGGACGCCAGUCUGCGUGGAGCCAACCUUGAAAUACCACCCUUUAAUGUUUGAUGUUCUAACGUUGGCCCCUUACCGGGGUUGCGGACAGUGUCUGGUGGGUAGUUUGACUGGGGCGGUCUCCUCCUAAAGCGUAACGGAGGAGCACGAAGGUUAGCUAAUCCUGGUCGGACAUCAGGAGGUUAGUGCAAUGGCAUAAGCUAGCUUGACUGCGAGCGUGACGGCGCGAGCAGGUGCGAAAGCAGGUCAUAGUGAUCCGGUGGUUCUGAAUGGAAGGGCCAUCGCUCAACGGAUAAAAGGUACUCCGGGGAUAACAGGCUGAUACCGCCCAAGAGUUCAUAUCGACGGCGGUGUUUGGCACCUCGAUGUCGGCUCAUCACAUCCUGGGGCUGAAGUAGGUCCCAAGGGUAUGGCUGUUCGCCAUUUAAAGUGGUACGCGAGCUGGGUUUAGAACGUCGUGAGACAGUUCGGUCCCUAUCUGCCGUGGGCGCUGGAGAAUUGAGGGGGGCUGCUCCUAGUACGAGAGGACCGGAGUGGACGCAUCACUGGUGUUCGGGUUGUCAUGCCAAUGGCACUGCCCGGUAGCUAAAUGCGGAAGAGAUAAGUGCUGAAAGCAUCUAAGCACGAAACUUGCCCCGAGAUGAGUUCUCCCUGAGACUUUAAGUCUCCUGAAGGAACGUUGAAGACGACGACGUUGAUAGGCCGGGUGUGUAAGCGCAGCGAUGCGUUGAGCUAACCGGUACUAAUGAACCGUGAGGCUUAACCUU
rnacentral:rRNA from 1 species